rnacentral:rRNA from 1 species
GAUGAACGCUGGCGGCGUGCCUAAUACAUGCAAGUCGAGCGAACUGAUUAGAAGCUUGCUUCUAUGACGUUAGCGGCGGACGGGUGAGUAACACGUGGGCAACCUGCCUGUAAGACUGGGAUAACUUCGGGAAACCGAAGCUAAUACCGGAUAGAAUCUUCUCCUUCAUGGGAGCUGAUUGAAAGAUGGUUUCGGCUAUCACUUACAGAUGGGCCCGCGGUGCAUUAGCUAGUUGGUGAGGUAACGGCUCACCAAGGCAACGAUGCAUAGCCGACCUGGGAGGGUGAUCGGCCACACUGGGACUGGGACACGGCCCAGACUCCGACGGGAGGCAGCAGUAGGGAAUCUUCCGCAAUGGACGAAAGUCUGACGGAGCAACGCCGCGUGAGUGAUGAAGGCUUUCGGGUCGUAAAACUCUGUUGUUAGGGAAGAACAAGUACGAGAGUAACUGCUCGUACCUUGACGGUACCUAACCAGAAAGCCACGGCUAACUACGUGCCAGCAGCCGCCGUAACAC